rnacentral:rRNA from 1 species
AAUUUUUGACUAUGGGCGCAAGCCUGUUCCAGCCAUGCCGCGUGUAGGUUGAAGGCCUUCGCGUUGUAAACUGCUUUUGUUCGGAACGAAAAGACCUGGGUUUAUACCCUGGGGUCAUGACGGUUCCGUAAGAAUAAGCACCGGCCAACUACGUGCCAGCAUCCGCGGUAUUACGUAGGGUGUGAGCGUUAAUCGGAAUUAUUGGGCGUAAAGCGUGCGCAGGCGGUUUUGUAAGACAGAGGUGAAAUCCCCGGGCUCAACCUGGGAACUGCCUUUGUGACUGCACGGCUAGAGUACGGCAGAGGAGGAUGGAAUUCCGCGUGUAGCAGUGAAAUGCGUAGAUAUGCGGAGGAACACCGAUGGCGAAGGCAAUCCCCUGGGCCUGUACUGACGCUCAUGCACGAAAGCGUGGGGAGCAAACAGG